UAAGGUCUAUUAGGAAAGGGAAGAGUAACCCCAGAGUGGAUCAUCAGCUGGGCCCAGAAGGGGCACUCCACUAUUACCUAGUUGCACAAAAAACUUCCUAUGUCAACUACAGAGCUCCCUUUAGCUGCUCCUGGACAGACUGUCAGCACACCGAGGGUACACAUCUACUGAGACAUUACAGGAUAAAGAUCUUUAACAAAAGGUCAAGCAAGAAUCGCUUCGCAGAAUCUUCAAUUUCCC